GGACGCUGUUCCCCUGGCGUCGAACCUGCCAGUUUGAAUCGCGGCGAAGCCGGCGUCCGGCGCCGCAGUUCAGAGGCAGGAGGGUCCGGGUGGGGUCGGGGGCUCUCGGCCGCAGGGCGCACGCGUUCAGCCCUCACCGAAAGCUGCGCGGGCGGGCGCGUAGGUGCGCUAUGCCCACGUUACACUUUAGGGAAAUGGAGACGGACUGAGAAUUGACCGGGCGCGUGGAGCAGGCAGCGACUGGACCUGGCCCGACCCACUCUGCCGCCUUCAGCUGCGUCGCCCCAAAGCCUCUAAGCCCCCCAGGUCCCCCGCAGCGCCACCGCGCGCGGCUCAGACCCGUGGUGGGAAAGCCGCACGGUUGACCCCGGGGUCAGGUCCUCCGGGAGGGAAGCGCGGGAAGAAGCGGUGACGCCGCUGUGGACGUCACCUCGGGAGGAGGGGACCAAACAACAAGAAACAUCAGGACUGGAGACAGUCUAAUUACCUUGGUGGGAACUUUCAUCAGCCAUCACACAUUGAAUCUAGAAGUGCUGGAACAAUAACUCAAGGGGACUGAUUGACAGUGACUGCUGCCAAAUUAGCAUUUCUAUGGAAGCCAGCGUCAGUUAUCAUCAACAGACAUUAUCCUCCUCUGAGAUUUUCUGAACUGCUUUUCAAUAGAGGCCAAAUCACUUGUAUGCAAUAAAACAAAAGAAACUUUGUCUGAAUACUGUAUUAGGACAGACACAAGUAUCUUAUAUUCUUUCACACUACAUGGUGUUCUUUAAACUGUAAGAGGAAAAGCACAACAGAUUCUUGCUGGGUUAGACAGAACCUCUUGUAGUGGGAUGAUUUAAAUUUAGUGUAUUUAAAAAUAUCAUAUACACCAAAUUGAGAAAAUGUAAGUUUUAAAGCUGAUUGAUUAAUGCAUUGUCAAUACAUCUGUCGUGAGCACACCAAAUAUUGUCAGGAUAAGGCCUGCGCACUUGUAAAGUGGCAAGAAAUUAUACUUUAUGAUAAGGGAUGUAAUUAGACUGUAUUUUAAUUUUUUUGUAAUUCACAACAAUAUAUGUUGUGUCUGAAAGAUAAAGGGAAUUUUAAGCACCAGUUAGUGAAAAUAUUUUUAUUUAAAUAAGAAACUGAAACUGAAGUCUUCCUAAAUAACAACUAUUAUCGCAUAAAAUAUUUUAAAAAUAGGACUUGAAUUUGGGUAUCUGUCUUAGUUACUUUUCUUGUUGCCAAGACAAAAUAUCUCACACCCAAAGUUAAAUGGGAAAGAGCUUAAUUACCUCACAGUUUGUGGAGGUUUCUGUCCAGAGCUGGCUGGCUCCAAGGCCGGGUAGCAUGGCAGAGGGGCACUGCAGAGGAGAAACAGUCCAUGGCAAAGAACGACAGGCAGAAGGCAGCAAGCAACAAGUGCAGACAACUUUAGCAGCUUCUUUCUGUCCCUUUUAUGUUUGAUCUAGGUUACCUGGCUUAGACAAGUGCCAAACCAGUCAGUAGACUGAUUUAGAUUUCACACAUCCCUAAUCCCACCACACACUCCAGAUUCCGUCACUUUUGAAACAGUCUUCACCUAUAACUGCAUGAAGCUUUGGGGGAACAUCUAGUCACAAGCCAUAACAUUCACCCCUAGCCCUUCAAAAAUUCAUACACAUCCCUUUAUGCAGAAAACAUUUAGUCCAUUUCCAAGAGUUGCCAAAGUCCUAACAGUUUCAACGUUGCUGAAAAGUCCAAGUACAAAAUUCUCCUCUGAGAUUUGAGGCAGACUCAUGAGGACACCUCUGUACAAAU
ensembl:lncRNA